AAUCAACGCUGGCGGCGUGCCUAACACAUGCAAGUCGAACGCGAAAAGGGGCAACCCUGAGUAGAGUGGCGUCCGGGUGAGUAACACGUGGAUAAUCUGCCUGCGGGCGGGGAAUAACUUUCCGAAAGGGGAGCUAAUACCGCAUAACACCGUAAUAGGGCAUCCUGAUACGGUCAAAGAGGGGGAUCGCAAGACCUCUCGCCUGCAGAGGAGUCCGCGGCCGAUUAGCUAGUGGCGAGGUAACGGCUCACCAAGGCAGCGAUCGGUAGCCGGCCUGAGAGGGCGAACGGCCACACUGGCACUGAAUACGGGCCAGACUCCUACGGGAGGCAGCAGUGGGGAAUUUUGGGCAAUGGCCGAAAGGCUGACCCAGCAACGCCGCGUGAAGGAUGAA
rnacentral:rRNA from 1 species